rnacentral:snoRNA from 1 species
CUCCUCAGUGAGACUCCUACUGCCUCAGUCUGAUCCCCAUGACUGAGUGGUUCCCUCUGAGGCC